rnacentral:rRNA from 1 species
AACGAACGCUGGCGGCAGGCUUAACACAUGCAAGUCGAACGAUGUAGCAAUACAUAGUGGCGCACGGGUGAGUAACGCGUGGGAACAUGCCCUUCAGUUUGGAAUAACAGCGGGAAACUGCUGCUAAUACCAAAUAUUCCCUCAGGGGGAAAGAUUUAUCGCUGAAGGAUUGGCCCGCGUAAGAUUAGGUAGUUGGUGGGGUAAUGGCCUACCAAGCCUACGAUCUUUAGCUGGUCUGAGAGGAUGAUCAGCCACACUGGAACUGAGACACGGUCCAGACUCCUACGGGAGGCAGCAGUGGGGAAUAUUGGACAAUGGGCGAAAGCCUGAUCCAGCCAUGCCGCGUGAGUGAUGAAGGCCUUAGGGUUGUAAAGCUCUUUUGUCAGGGAAGAUGAUGACGGUACCUGAAGAAUAAGCACCGGCUAACUCCGUGCCAGCAGCCGCCGCCGUAA